CCUGUUGAAGGACAUCUGAGGAGACGCUCUCCAGGCUUUCUACCUGGCUGUUGAGUUGGGUCAUUGACUAGUUUGACCUUUUCUGAGUCAGGAUGUAAGGCUGGUUAGUUUUAUUGACCUGUUCAUUAGCUAUUGUUGAGGACUCAACAAGAAAGAUGAAAACACUUGAGGAGCGUCAUUCUGUUCUUCUUUGACACCAGAGUCAUCCUGCAAUGAUCCAGGAGCCUGUGACUGUUUCUGGGAAGGAGGCAGCAACACUGGCAGAGAGCAGAGCUUGGAAGUCAGAUGAUGUAACCAAAGUGCCACGAGAGGGCUUAUACUCUUCAAGUCCCGGGUUGGCGGCAGUGAUCUCCAGGCAGAUCAGCUCCCCAGGUGUGUGGGGUCUCCAGGUGUUCCGGGUCUCCAGGUGUUCCGGGUCGCCAGGUGUACGAGUUACAUCUUCUGGUUACAAAUGACAGAAACCAGCUCUGGGAGUUUACUGGAAGUAAUGGAAGGAUAUCGGAAGCUUCCAAAAAUGGCAGAGAACCAGAUUUGGAAAUGGAUCAAAAACAAGGCAUCUCUGGAAGGUUAGGAAGGGGGCCACCCAAGGAGCGGCUGCUAUUAGGAGCAUUCUGGCUCGGGCACGACAGACCUCCGCUCUUCAGUCUCUAUGCAACUCAUGACUUUUUCAGUUGCCUGAGAGUGAGCAUCCACUGGUCUUAACUUGGCUGUGGAACAAGUGCCGUUGGUACACUGACCAUGUUCCCUUGGAGGUCACCUGUAGACAGCUUCCUUAACAUGCUGACAAUUGGAGGGUGCUCUGUCCAGAGAGGCACAGUCUGCCUGGAGCAGGUGACACCGGAAGUGCUGGGAACUCGCCUCCCCAGGAGCGAGCCUCACUAGAGAUACUGACACACCCCGUCCUCUGCUGCCUGGGGAGGACACAACCUGAGGAGUGUUCCCACAGUCUCUCAGAGGUGCUGGUGGAAUGAGCCUCAGCGGCCCUCAGCGGUCACGUGCUCCUCGGCCUACACUUCCCUCCUUUCCUCUCUCACUUCCUCUUCUUCACGUUGCUUCCUGGGCUCACCUCCCAAAUAAAAUGCUUGCUGGUCAAUCUUUUAUGAUCUAUUUUUGGGCCGUCUAAAUUAAGAUGGGGAAAAAGUGGAAACAGUGACAGAUUUGGGCUCCAAAUUCACUGUGGACAGUGACUACAGCCAUAAAAUUCAAAGAUGCUUGCUCCUUGGAAGGAAAGCUAUGACAAACCUCAAAAGCAAAAGCAUUGCUUUGAUGACAAAGGUCCAUAUAGUCAAAGUUAUAGUUAUUCCAGUAGUCAUGUACAGAUGUGAGAGUUGGACUGUAAAGAAGGCUGAGUGCUUGUUUAUAAUAGCCGGGACAUGGAAGCAACCUCGAUGCCCAUCAGCAGAUGAAUGGAUAAGGAAGCUGUGGUACAUAUACACCAUGGAAUAUUACUCAGCCAUUAAAAAGAAUUCAUUUGAACCAGUUCUAAUGAGAUGGAUGAAACUGGAGCCCAUUAUACAGAGUGAAGUAAGCCAGAAAGAUAAAGAACAUUACAGCAUACUAACACAUAUAUAUGGAAUUUAGAAAGAUGGUAAUGACAACCCUAUAUGCAAAACAGAAAAAGAGACACAGAAAGACAGAACAGACUUUUGAACUCUGU